rnacentral:rRNA from 1 species
AUGGAUGGCACGACGACCUUCUUCGCUUGGUGCUCUCUAGUGGCCGAAACUUCACUGGGCUGCCUACGUAAAGGACUCAACUCCAUCGUCGCAUUGACUGCUUGGGCCAUCUGGAAGCAUCGCAACGCAUUGACUGCUUGGGCCAUCUGGAAGCAUCGCAACGCUGCCAUCUCCGACGGCCUCCAACCCUCCACCGAAGAUCUCGUGCUAACCAUCAAGGAAGACGCUCGCCUCUCGGCCAAAGCAGGCGCCAGGGGUUUAGCUACUAUCAUACCUGUAACCUGA